GGUGGCUCAGUGGUAGAGUUCUUGCCUUGCAUGCAUGAGGCCCUAGGUUCAAUUCCUAAGUACCA
rnacentral:tRNA from 1 species